rnacentral:rRNA from 1 species
GAUGAACGCUGGCGGCGUGCCUAAUACAUGCAAGUCGAGCGAACAGACGAGGAGCUUGCUCCUCUGACGUUAGCGGCGGACGGGUGAGUAACACGUGGUUAACCUACCUAUAAGACUGGUAUAACUUCGGGAAACCGGAGCUAAUACCGGAUAAUAUAUUGAACCGCAUGGUUCAAUAGUGAAAGACGGUUUUGCUGUCACUUAUAGAUGGAUCCGCGCCGCAUUAGCUGGUUGGUAAGGUAACGGCUUACCAAGGCAACGAUGCGUAGCCGACCUGAGGGGGUGGUCGGCGGCACUGGAACUGGGCCACGGUCCAGACUACUAAGGGAGGCAGCAGUAGGGAAUGUGCCGCAGUGGGCGAAAGCCUGACGGAGCAACGCGACGUGAGUGAUGACGGCCUUCGGAUCGUAAAACUCUGUUAUUAGGGGAGAACAAAUGUGUAAGUAACUAUGCACGUCUUGACGGUACCUGAUCAGAAAGCCACGGCUAACUACGUG